rnacentral:rRNA from 1 species
UACGUAGGGGGGCAAGCGUUGUCCGGAAUCAUUGGGCGUAAAGAGCGUGUAGGCGGCCCGGUAAGUCCGCUGUGAAAGUCCAGGGCUCAACCCUGGGAUGCCGGUGGAUACUGCCGGGCUAGAGUCCGGAAGAGGCGAGUGGAAUUCCUGGUGUAGCGGUGGAAUGCGCAGAUAUCAGGAGGAACACCAAUAGCGAAGGCAGCUCGCUGGGACGGUACUGACGCUGAGGCGCGAAAGCGUGGGGGAGCAAACAGG